rnacentral:misc_RNA from 1 species
GAAAUGCGAUACGUAAUGCGAAUUGCAGAAUUCAGUGAAUCAUCAAAUCUUUGAACGCAAAUUGCGCUUUCUGGAUAGGCCAGGGAGCAUGCCUCUUUGAGUAUCGUUUCUACCUCACCUCGGCAGCUUUGCUGCUGGAUAUUGAGAGUCUCAUUCGAAAGUCUGAGUCUCUUUAAGUACAGUGAGUUCAAACUCCUAGUAUUAAAAGUCAAUUUUAUUAUUGGCUUUGCCUGUUAUCAGGUUAUUUGAUUACUAGUGACAUGGAUAAUUCAUUAUUUUAUGUUACUGGAAGUUGAUAAACUUGAUGAUAUGGUUAAGAUAUCUUGGUAAUUGAACUUGUAGAAAAUUAAAAACUAAUUUUGAAUUAGAUCUCAAAUGAAGCAAGAUUACCCGCUGAACU